UUGAAACUGGUUCUCUUGAGUGUAGAUGAGGUGGGUGGAAUUCGUGGUGUAGCGGUGAAAUGCUUAGAUAUCACGAAGAACUCCAAUUGCGUAGGCAGCUCACUGGGCUACAACUGACGCUGAGGCACGAAGGUGCGGGGAUCAAACAGGGUUAGAUACCCUGGUAGUCCGCACAGUAAACGAUGAAUACUAGCUGUUGGCGAUACACAGCCAGUGGCACAGCGAAAGCGUUAAGUAUUCCACCUGGGGAGUACGUUCGCAAGAAUGAAACUCAAAGGAAUUGACGGGGGCCCGCACAAGCGGUGGAGCAUGUGCUUUAAUUCGAUGCAACGCGAAGAACCUUACCUAGGCUUGACAUGGGAGUGAAAUCUUGUAGAAAUAUGAGACCUUCCGCAAGGAACACUCUACACAGGUGCUGCAUGGUUGUCGUCAGCUCGUGUCGUGAGAUGUUGGGUUAAGUCCCGCAACGAGCGCAA
rnacentral:rRNA from 1 species